rnacentral:rRNA from 1 species
AUUGAACGCUGGCGGCAUGCCUUACACAUGCAAGUCGAACGGCAGCACGGGAGCAAUCCUGGUGGCGAGUGGCGAACGGGUGAGUAAAGUAUCGGAACGUGCCCAGUCGUGGGGGAUAACGUAGCGAAAGUUACGCUAAUACCGCAUACGAUCUAUGGAUGAAAGCGGGGGAUCGCAAGACCUCGCGCGAUUGGAGCGGCCGAUAUCGGAUUAGGUAGUUGGGGGGGUAAAGGCUCACCAAGCCGACGAUCUGUAGCAGGUCUGAGAGGACGACCAGCCACACUGGGACUGGAACACGGGCCAGACUCCUACGGGAGGCAGCAGGGGGGAAUUUUGGACAGUGGGCGCAAGCCUGAUCCAGCCAUGCCGCGUGCAGGAUGAAGGCCUUCGGGUUGUAAACUGCUUUUGUACGGAACGAAAAGGUUUGGCUUAAUACGUUGAACUCAUGACGGUACCGUAAGAAUAAGCACUGGCUAACUACGUGCCAGCCGCCGCCGUAA